rnacentral:tRNA from 1 species
GCCCUCGUGGUGUAGUGGUCAGCACACUCGGCGUGUAUUCGAGAGGUCAGUGGUUCGAGUCCAGGUGAAGGCG